CUUUUCAGCAAUUUAAGUGUGGGAGUGGGUGAAGAAAUCAUUUUUAAAUCAAGGUAACUGUUUGGGGCAAGAAAUGGUGUCUGUAUGAAGAGCACAAAGAUAGACCAUGCCUCCACUUAAAAUUAUGUAUGUGUAUGCACGUGUGUACCAUCAGGAGAGAAUAGGUCACCUCUUCUCUGGUGGCAGGUGUCAACGCAACAGCCUUUUUAUAGGUUUAGAACUUUCGAUUGAUAGACAUGGCCAUGUUAGACAGCACUUUUCAAUAGGAGAAAAGCAGCUGACAUUCUACAUGUUAACAACAUAACUGUUUCAGGAUCAUAAACUCUGUUCUAAGAUAGGACUUAACUUUUGUGGAACAUUUAGAUCUUUAACACUUUUGUAAAAGCUGCAGGCUACUCAUAAGCAAACAGAAUGAGUGGAUGAUAAUAACAUUCCUGUCUUGUAAACUAAUGUUCGGUCCACUUUAAUACCUUCUCUUUCAGGACGAAUGAUAGUACGUCUUUAUAUGAAAUUAGUGCUGUUAGUCUAAGUUCUGUUUUUCUCUCUUGUUUAUGUUAAGAAUGUCCAUGUUGUAUGCCUUUGUGACCUUAUUUUUAAUUUGAUGUAGAGUAAAUUUCCCUGUGGGAAACUUUUAUAUCAUCUAGCACUUUAGAAAAAGGAGACAUUCAUUAGGUUUAUAAACAAAAAGUAAGAGAUAGAAAGGGCACCAGUUUACCCUGCCCCUAAUUCCCCAAUUCUGUCAUGGUCUAGGCAUUCCUUUCCUUGGGGAAGUUGUGAUUGUAGUUCUUACAGGCAAUAGCUGGUUGCUUAAGGAUACUUCGAAAGGUUCGGUUUCAGGAUAUCAUCCCAAAGAAAGGUAGUAACUGCAGCUGCUUGUUCACUAACUAGGUUGUGACUCUUUUGUAACGCCCCAAAUCCUAUCACAUCUCUGUCAUAGAGAACCAACUUCUUUAUUUCUUCUUCCUCAAGGCUUUAUUGGUAGUAGGGACUUACUGGCUCACUUCCUUCUAUAACCUAUUGAGGGAGAGAAGGAGUUCCAUAGUGGCUCAACUUGUUUAUCUAAGGGUGAAAAUUCUUAGUAAAGUCUUGCCUGGCUUGUAUUGACCAGUACUUUUAAUCCUUAAUUCGUUUUGAGUAAAAGCAAUCACUAAUUGAUUUUUUAACAGGAUAAGGCUCUUAAAUGGACAAUUCAGUGAUGUUUACAGGGACAACUGAAUUGUAUUUAAAAACAAAAUUGUCGUUGGUUUUCUGUACAGCUAUGAAAAAAUAUGGAUUAGUCCCAUGUACUUUUUUUACUUUAAUUUGUAACACACCACCAAAUUCAAAUAGAUUAGAAAUAAUGAAUAACCCCUAGAAACAGUGUGAGACAGUGUAAAAAGGCAGCAUAGAAGUGAUUGAUGCUUGAGCAGGCCCUGAUUUUGACAUGAAAGAAAGAGGGUGGUGCCAUUGUGGAAAGUAGCUGGGCAAACACCACGUAGUUGAGAACUACUGCAACCAAUGAAAACACAGUACUCCUCUUAAAAAAAAAGUAAUUCCUCUUUAAACUCUAAUCGUGUAUGUGAUUCUUUUCUUUCAAGAUUUGAAAAAUAUCUCACAAAGGUAAAUUCAUUUAACACAAGCUGACCUUGUGUUUAACCCCAAACCUCUAAGGAUAAAUAUCACAAAGGUACCUUUUUAAAAGCCUAAAGGCUAAAACACUAUGUAGAUUUUGCUGUAAUUUUAAGUAAUUAAUAAUGUAAUAUACUUAAAAAACAUUAAAUUGUACACUUUAAAUAGGCGAAUUGUAUGUGAAUGAUGUCUUAGUAAAGCUGUUUUCUUAAAAAUGUGCUCUAUAGCAAAAUAACAAAUCUUUGCCCAUGUUUAUGCUACUGAGAAACUCAUUUUGGAAGCCGUAACAUCUUGCUGUGUGUACACUGCCAUAUGUAGCCUUUACUCAUGCUCCUCAGAGGCUUCCAAUUCAGAGCUUUCUCAGUGAGCCAAUGAGGAUGCACAUUCCAGCUUUGUGCCUCCUCCUGGGCUAAGGAUAGGGCAGGUGGUAAGGUGCACAGAGAUAAAUAACACAUGGUGGUUGUCCUCACAUUAUCAACUGUUUGGUCAAGGAGAGGAAACAAGCAUAAGAACCAGUCAGAGAAUGUAGGCUAGCACAUGUUUAAGUAGAUUGCACUGUGUGAAGAAGGCGGGGAGUUCACACAAGGGAAGUUCUAGGACAGUGAUCAGAAAGGGCUUCAUGUGGGAGGGUAGGAACUAAGCUGGCCACCAAGCGGUGGGUACUGUUGACAGGAGAAGGAACUUUUUCAGUCAGGGUGCCGAGACAGCUAGCAUUGUGGUUCAGUGUCAGGCACAUGCAUGCCAAGUAAAGUGUUUUGCAUUAUUACAUGACUGAGGAAUGAACUUGAUUUGCAUGGUCGUAUAGAAUAACUGAGAAAUUUGGAUACACAGAGUAGGCCUUGAUUUUAUAGGGCCUUGAGAACCAGGGUCUUAAAUACAGAGUGAAAAAUUGAGACCUGUUAGAAACUCAAGAAGGUCACAUGAUAAAACUAUUAAAGGAGCUUAAUCUAGCCGUGGGUAUGGAGGUUAUACUGGAUAUAGACUAGCUAUCUGAGCGGUUGCAGUCAUUUAUGUUUUGGUUAACUAUAAAUGAGAUGAUGCCCCAAAGAAUAGAGUGAAAUCACUGUAAGUAAGAGAUUUCUAGGGGACAUAGGACAGAGCAAAAUGAUUUAUAACCACCCAAGGAUUUAAGAUAGCCAAUUCAUACAAGGGCUGUGCCAUUACUAGAGAUUAAGAUGUUAUCUCUAGUUUAAGAGGAAAAAGUUUAAUUUUGUUUUGAAACUUCAGGCAAGUGGAGUUAAGAAACUCUGGGAUUUGAAUCCCAGAAUCUCACUUAACUGAUCAUUCUCGGGGGUGGACCAUUUAAACUUUCUUAGUUUUCGUUCUUUUGCUAAAACAUGGUGAAAACUCAUAGGAUCUGAGGGAUAAAUGGAAUAAUUUACUAGAGAAAGCACUAUGAUGUAUUAUAAAGAGUUGCUUUUGAGUUUACGAUGGAAUGUACUUUUUUUUUUUUUUU